CCUAGAGAGAAGCUAGUGCUAAAAAUGUAUUGAAAUGGAGAAGCAAGAGCUAGAAAAGAAACUUCAGAAACUAAGUUUAUAACUCUGGGCAAUUAUGUCAGUUGAAUGGCAGGAGAGAGGAGUCAUCUGGAUUCAGGAGAGGCAUCAACCCAAAUAAGGCCUGGUCAUUGCUGUUCUUGUAAACAGGGAUAGUAUUCAGUACCAACUGUUUGUUGAAUUAGGGAAAACUAAACAGCUAAUCAACUAUUACCAGCUUCUAAUAGCUACAAUAAGUAGUUUUGUAGGCUGCCU